rnacentral:lncRNA from 1 species
AUAGAGUAAAAUAGAAAAAGUUUUUCUUUGAGAUCUGUGAUUUUAAGUAAAACUUGAAAACACAAAAUGACAUGUGAAAUAAAAGGCUCAUCUAAUCCAGGUCAGAAUAUAGAAAUGAAUUAAACCUCCACUGUACUGUGGACCCUGGAACAAAACAUCUCUGAGAGAACAAAUACAUCCAAAAUAAGGCAGAUAUUUGGGACUCAACUCCGCAAACUGUGUCCAAGAAGACUAAGCUACUGUCAAAGAGUAACAACCAGUAAUUGUGAGACAGCCCACAAGUGGGAAGGUUGCACAAAACAGGAUAGGCUUCAAGCUGAAGUGCUAUGGCUGAAACACAGGAUUCCAAAUCAUAACAAUAUUUGAAAAUGGAAUCUAAAUGAAAUAUGAAGGAAUAUUCACAUAACUUGGGAA